rnacentral:sRNA from 1 species
GUAAACCAAAUGCUGCUGCUGCUGCUGCUGCUGCUGCUGCUGCAGUUGCAGUUGCAGUUGCUGCUGCUGCUGCAGUUGCAGUUGCUGCUGCUGCAGUUGCAGUUGCAGUUGCAGUUGCUGCUGCUGCUGCAGUUGCAGUUGCUGCUGCUGCUGCUGCAGUUGCAGUUGCAGUUGCUGCUGCUGCUGCUGCAGUUGCAGUUGCAGUUGCUGCUGCUGCUGCUGCAGCAAAUGCAACUGCAGGGCGAGUGCUGCUUACAUGCGUCU